GCCGGGGCGCCGCCGCCGCCUCCGCCCGCGCCGGCCCGCCGGCCGACCGGCACACCGACAGACACACCGACAGACACACCGACAACACCGACCGGCACACCGACAGACACGCCGACCCACCGGCACGGCGACCGGCACACCGACGGCCACCAGAGCCCGCUGGCAGCGGCGCUAGCGAAAGCAUCUGGUUCUCCCCUGCUCCCCGGGGGGCACAGACCGCUGCCCACCCCCACCUCCCCGGGGGUCCGGGGUGCCCCCGCACCGCUGUGAUUAUCGCGGGGCUCUGCCCGCCCGCCCCGACACAAGCAACCCCCCCAAAAUCCCGCCCGGGGGAAGUGGCAGCACAGACGAGGGGGGCUGCUCCCCCCGGCCGGAGGGGGCAGUGGGUGCCCCCCAUCCGCCUCACCCCCCAACGGGAACCCCGACCCAGAGCAGGCGUUUGAGAGGAGAAAGUGCUCGCGCUUGUUUCCAGCAGGAUCCGAAAAUCAAACCCCGCUAUCCCCAGGCUCCCUCGAGUCUUCUGUGCCCCCAGGACACUCGUGUCCCGGCGUGGGGCACCCACGGGAGCCCCAGACGGAGGGGAAAAAUCCCCCAAAGCCACGGGGAUGGGCGGCACAGUCCCCUCCUAGGGCCGGGCCUCUGAGUCGGGGUGGAUUUUUUGUUUUUCACUGCAUCUCGCAAUUCGCCCAGAUCCGUUCCCGGCCGGGUCCGAGCCCCCAGCCCCGGGCGGGACCGACCCCACCCGUGCUCAGCAGAGAGCCGGCCGGGAUGUUCCAGAGCAACCUCGCUCGGCCUCGGUGAGGGACAUUAGAAGCGUACAAAAAGAAAGAAAGAGAAAAAGAGGGGCAUCAGAAGAUGUUUUUAAAAGGAGAAAAUUAAAAAGUAAAAAAAAAAAAAAAUAGAGAAAAAAGGUUAAAAAAAAGAGAGAAAGUAAAAGAGUAAAAAAAUAAAAGAAAAAGGAGUGAAAAUAAAAGACUAGAAAAAACAGACAAAAAAAAAAAAAAAACCAAACAAAAAGCCCAAACACAAACUCAAAUUCAUUUUAAAUCUAAUAGAGAAGGAGGGGGGAAAAGUCCUUUUCAGGCGAGUUUAAAUUUGCAUUUUAUUGGUGUCGUUCCCGUCUUUUUAGUUAAACAUCACCCUGUUUAUCAUCCCCCUUUCCCCACCGCUGCGCUGGGUAAUGGGAUUUCUCUCUCCUUUACGGUGCACCGGUGCCGUACAAACACCGGAGCCCUCUCGCCGAGGACCACCGCGGUGCGUUGCGGGGCAUCCCCGCAUCCCCAGCUGCUCCCUCCCUCCAAACCAGGCAAAAACUUCCCUCCCACGCGCUCGCAGGCACUUUCCACCAUGUCCCUCCCCCGACAGCAUUAAGUUUUCCCCUCUUUCCCUAUUCAUUUUUAAUUUGAUUUUGUUUUUUUUUCCCCCGUCCUUUUUAACCUUUCACAACGACCGCGCACGGGAUCGGGGAUGAGACCGCGCUUUGCGCGACCGGCGGAGCCGGUGACCGGCAGCAUCCCCGCCGCGGGGGGAGGCCGGGGGAGGCCCUGAGUUCCCGUUCCGACCCCUCCGCAUCCCGGUGGAGCCCUGCCCGGGGUGCGGGGGUCGCUCCGAGACGCCGCCGCGCUCCCCUCCGGGAGCUGCCGGAGCGCCCCCCGCCACCCCGGGCAGCGCCGCGGGGGGACAGCCCGUGGAGAAAGUGGGGGUCGCAUCUCUCACCCCCCUCCCCACCACUUUCCCCCGCAGAAAGAGCGCCUCCGCCUGAUUAAAUAUAUAUGCGGUUAAUGCACUAUCCAAAUAUUGAAGUUAAGAUGUAAUUAAGCCUGUAGAACAUCCCCGCGCAAUAAACCCCAUGGCUGGACAGGAUCCGUCGCCAGGUUUGUUUUAAAAGAGCUUUUUAAAAAAAAAAAAAAAGAAGAAGAAGAAGAAGAAAGAUCUUUAAAUUAUGUAUUAGAGGGUCCCAGUUUAUCCUGCCACACUCGGGUCGAUGCUGAGGGUAAACACGGCACUGUGUCCCCCCGGCUCCGCUCGCCUUUCCCUUUUCUUUUAUUUCUUUUCUGUUCAUUUUCCUUUUUCUUAUUUAUUUUCCUGCCCCCCUCCCCCGUGAUUAGCCCUCCCGGGUUUCUUCCCACGUCGCUAAAUGUUGUCGCUUACACUCCAAGCUCAUGCAUUGUUUAUGCGAAAUAUAGUUAAUAAAUAAUUACAAAUCCGA